AAAUCCCAUUUCCCUCCCACCGCUCAAGGGGUGCUUUGAUUGUGCUUUUCCUGUAUUCCAGAAGGGAGUUGGACUGGAUGGCCCCUGGGAUUGCUCCUCCUCCUCCUCCUACUACUACUACUAUUACUACUGAGGCUGGAUUGCCAUCUGCAAGGGGUGCUUUGUGCUUUUCCUACAUGACAUAAGGCGGUUGACUGGAUGCCCCUGGGGUUUUCCACAGAAAUACUGCUCCAGAUGGAAAUUAUUAGCACUUUUCUUAAUUACGACAAUGAAGACCAUAAGUGGAGAAUCAAGAGAAGAAAACAAGUUGAGUUACUUAUCCCUGCAAGCGAGGAUGAAGCAAUUGAGCACCUGUAUCCCAAAGUUCAACAUUGUCUCCUUUAGUGGCUCCCAACAUGUGAGCAGCAGACCACUGAUGGUACUUCGGGUGGUCUGUGAAGGACUCCUUAGUGGAAGUGAAAUGUAUGAACCAAUCACAGGAAGAGAGAAGGGUGAAGAUCACACUAAUGGAGCCUCUCAUCAUUUCAUCAUUUGCCAUCAUUUCUGUUUUUUACACUGUGUAAUAAAUAUGAAAUAUUUAUAUAUAGGCUUCUAAUACUGGGAAAAGGCAGGCUUUAAAUGGAUAAAAUAAAUACAAAUACAUAAG
rnacentral:lncRNA from 11 species